UACGGAGGGUGCAAGCGUUAUCCGGAUUCACUGGGUUUAAAGGGUGCGUAGGCGGGUAGGUAAGUCAGUGGUGAAAUCCUGGAGCUCAACUCCAGAACUGCCAUUGAUACUAUCUAUCUUGAAUAUUGUGGAGGUAAGCGGAAUAUGUCAUGUAGCGGUGAAAUGCUUAGAUAUGACAUAGAACACCCAUUGCGAAGGCAGCUUACUACGCAUAUAUUGACGCUGAGGCACGAAAGCGUGGGGAUCAAACAGGAUUAGAUACCCUGGUAGUCCACGCCCUAAACUAUGGAUACUCGACAUAUGCGAUGCACUGUAUGUGUCUGAGCGAAAGCAUUAAGUAUCCCACCUGGGAAGUACGUUCGCAAGAAUGAAACUCAAAGGAAUUGGCGGGGGUCCGCACAAGCGGUGGAGUAUGUGGUUUAAUUCGAUGAUACGCGAGGAACCUUACCUGGGCUAGAAUGCUGGGAGACCGCUAGUGAAAGCUAGUUUUGUAGCAAUACACUGCCAGUAAGGUGCUGCAUGGCCGUCGUCAGCUCGUGCCGUGAGGUGUUGGGUUAAGUCCCGCAACGAGCGCAACCCCUAUCUUUAGUUGCCAACAGGUAAUGCUGGGAACUCUAAAGAAACUGCCGCCGUAAGGUGUGAGGAAGGAGGGGGUGAUGUCAGGUCAUCAUGGCCUUUAUGCCCAGGGCUACACACGUACUACAAUGGGGGAGACAAAGGGCUGCAACAUAGCGAUAUGAAGCCAAUCCCAAAAACUCCCUCUCAGUUCAGAUUGCAGGCUGCAACUCGCCUGCAUGAAGCUGGAAUCGCUAGUAAUCGUAUAUCAGCAAUGAUACGGUGAAUACGUUCCCGGACCU
rnacentral:rRNA from 1 species